rnacentral:rRNA from 1 species
GACAGAGGGUGCAAACGUUGUUCGGAAUUACUGGGUGUAAAGCGCGUGUAGGUGGCGAGGCAAGUCGGGUGUGAAAGCCCUGGGCUCAACCCAGGAAGUGCACUCGAUACUGCCUAGCUAGAGUCCCGGAGAGGUUGGUGGAACUCUCGGUGUAGAGGUGAAAUUCGUAGAUAUCGAGAAGAACACCGGUGGCGAAGGCGGCCAACUGGACGGUGACUGACACUGAGACGCGAAAGCGUGGGGAGCAAACAGG